GGUGUGAUAGCAGGGCCGGGAGCGCUGGGGGCAACAGUCCCCGCCGUCCUGAUGCCAUUCGCCAUCGCCGCCGACAAGAGCACGACGCAGGCGAGCACGGCCAGCCUGCACCCCAUUGCCGCUGCUGCUUCUGCUCUUCAGCGAUCGAGGUCCAAAGGACGGAGAUGCAAAGGUUCUUGGGAGAUGGGAGCAAGCAAUGCAAGCAGACGAGUAGGAGUGACAAGUGGUGAAGGGAGAGAGCUGGUGUGUGUGACGAUCCUAGCAACCCUCAGCACAUGAUCUUUAUAUAUAUAUGUGUGGGAGAGGCACAUUGCCGCUGUCGAGCGGCUUUGGCUCCUUUGUUUCCCCCCUCCUUUGUUGGUUGGCUCAAAAAAAGUACAAAUCAGGAACACCCCAGGUCUAGUCGUGAUCAGCCUGCGAGACUGAUGAUCGAGCUGGGCCUGGGCGCCGCCCGAGGAAGGAGAAGGAAGACAGGGAAGUUCCAAAAGAGCAGUCAGUACUACUGCGUGCCUUGCCAGCAAGGGCACGCGAUCUAGCACCAUCCAGAGGGAGUUUUGUCUCUCUGCCUGCAGGGGCCUACGCUGCCUGAGCGAACUGAUUAGCAUGCCGAGGGGUCAGUUGAUGGCUGCAUGCGUACGGUCCCUGCGGCGUGGCGCCAAUGAUUUCGCUGCAUAUGACGGUUGUUCUGUUGUCGGAUGAUGCCAACAACGGGUAAAGUGUCAAAUCAAGUUUACACAAAAAUACGAAUGCCCGCAUGGAGUACUAAAUGAAGUCUAUUUGCAAAACCUUUUCAGAGACGGAUGUAACUUUUCGAGAUGAAUCUAAUGGCGGUAAUUAAUUGAUGAUUUGAUA